rnacentral:rRNA from 1 species
AGUGAACGCUGGCGGUAGGCCUAACACAUGCAAGUCGAACGGCAGCACAGGAGAGCUUGCUCUCUGGGUGGCGAGUGGCGGACGGGUGAGGAAUACAUCGGAAUCUACUCUGUCGUGGGGGAUAACGUGGGGAAACUUACGCUAAUACCGCAUACGACCUACGGGUGAAAGCAGGGGAUCUUCGGACCUUGCGCGAUUGAAUGAGCCGAUGUCGGAUUAGCUAGUUGGCGGGGUAAGGGCCCACCAAGGCGACGAUCCGUAGCUGGUCUGAGAGGUUGAGCAGCCACACUGGAACUGAGACACGGUCCAGACUCCUACGGGAGGCAGCAGUGGGGAAUAUUGGACAAUGGGCGCAAGCCUGAUCCAGCCAUACCGCGUGGGUGAAGAAGGCCUUCGGGUUGUAAAGCCCUUUUGUUGGGAAAGAAAUCCAGCUGGCUAAUACCCGGUUGGGAUGACGGUACCCAAAGAAUAAGCACCGGCUAACUUCGUGCCAGCCGCCGCAGUAA